GAUAAACGCUGGCGGCGCACAUAAGACAUGCAAGUUGAACGGACUUAAUCGAAAUAUUUAUAUUUUGAAGCGGUUAGUGGCGGACUGGUGAGUAACGCGUAAGGAACCUGCCUAUUAGAGGGGAAUAACAGUGAGAAAUCAUUGCUAAUACCGCAUAUGCCAUAGAUAUCACAUGAUAACAGUGGGAAAGGAGCAAUCCGCUAAUAGAUGGCCUUGCGUCUGAUUAGAUAGUUGGUGGGGUAACGGCCUACCAAGUCGACGAUCAGUAGCCGGACUGAGAGGUUGAACGGCCACAUUGGGACUGAGAUACGGCCCAGACUCCUACGGGAGGCAGCAGUCGGGAAUAUUGCGCAAUGGAGGAAACUCUGACGCAGUGACGCCGCGUUUAGGAAGAAGGUUUUCGGAUUGUAAACUAUUGUCGUUAGGGAAGAGAAAGGACAGUACCUAAGGAGGAAGCUCCGGCUAACUACGUG
rnacentral:rRNA from 1 species